AUGUCGGACAUGGGGAGGGUGAAGGUGACGGCGUGGAACCCCCUGGAGGUGUACCAAUCGGCAUAUCUCUUCAGAUGCUUCUGCUUCGAGCCCAGCCAGCCGAGCAAAACCACCACCGUCUGGGACCUGUCAGGCGAGCCGCCGCACGCCCUCGGGUCCGGCAGGUGCCAGCGGUACAGAACAUCCGAGGAGGAGGAAGGGAUGGCCGGGAGCGAGAGUACGUCUUCGGGGAGCCUGUGGUGGUGGGAGAAUUUGUCGGGCAGCUCGAUGGAGGAGACGGCGGCGAAGGCGGCCACCGCCAUGGCGGAGAGGGGCCGGUGGAAGGAUGCCGUCGUGUGUGAGGCCUUCCUCCGCAUCCAACCCCACUUCGGGCGGUGGCCCAAAGUCUUUAACGUGAAGCCGAAGGUGGUGGAUGGCUAG
rnacentral:rRNA from 1 species